CCAGGCAGUGGGUUGAAGCUUAAACUCAGGCAGUCUGACUCCAGAACCCACAUUCCUAACCAAUGAGUUACCCAAUGGUACCUGUCAUAAAAUAUAUCCAGCAGUCUUAGGGCAAAUCUAAUAGUAGCAGCCUUACCUGCUAGAGGCUGGUGAUCUGAUUUUCAGCCCAGACCUCCAUGUGGUCUUUGUCACACUGGUGGCAGGAGUCAGAUGGUCUCUUGCAGAAAGAAC
rnacentral:lncRNA from 1 species